GGUCCAUACUGGUUUCUACUGGUCUAUACUGGUCUAUACUGGUCCAUACUGGUCUAUACUGGUCCAUACUGGUCCAUACUGGUGUUGGAAUGGGUUGGACAAUGGGCUCUCCUGGGAUCUUCUAUUGGUUCCUAUGGGUCUCUAUUGACCUCUAUGGGUCUGUUGUGGCCCAUACUGUUCUAUACUGGUCCAUACUGGUCCAUACUGGUCUAUACAGGUCCUUACUGGUCCAUACUGGUCUAUACUGGUCCAUACUGGUCCAUACUGGUCUAUACUGGUCUAUACUGGUGUUUGAUAGGGGUGCAACAAUGGGCUCUCCUGGCAUCUUCUAUUGCUUCCUAUGGCUCUCUAUGGACCUCUAUGGGUCCCUAUUGGUCUAUACUGGUUUCUACUGGUCCAUACUGGUUCAUACUGGUCUAUACUGGUCCAUACUGGUCCAUACUGGUCCAUACUGGUGUGGGAAGGGGUUGGACAAUGGGUUCUCCUGGGAUCUUCUAUUGGUUCCUAUGGGUCUCUAUUCACCUCUAUGGGUCCGUAGCGGCCCAUACUGGUCCCU
ensembl:lncRNA